rnacentral:rRNA from 1 species
AUACGGAGGGUGCAAGCGUUAUUCGGAAUCACUGGGCGUAAAGGACGCGUAGGCGGGUUGGCAAGUCAGAUGUGAAAUCCUACAGCUUAACUGUAGAACUGCAUUUGAAACUGCUAACCUAGAGUAUGAGAGGGGGAGAUGGAAUUAGUGGUGUAGGGGUAAAAUCCGUAGAUAUCACUAGGAAUACCGAAAGCGAAGGCGAUCUCCUGGAACAUAACUGACGCUAAGGCGUGAAAGCGUGGGGAGCAAACAGUAUUAGAUACCCUAGUAGUCC